rnacentral:tRNA from 1 species
AAUUAAUGAACUUGAACAAGUAUAUGCUUUGAAAGCAUAAUAUAGGAGUAAAACCUUCUAUUAAUUU